rnacentral:rRNA from 1 species
CCCUUAGAUGUCCUGGGCCGCACGCGCGCUACACUGACGGAGCCAGCGAGCUUACCCCUUUGCCGAAAGGCAUGGGAAAUCUUUUGAAUCUCCGUCGUGCUGGGGAUAGAUCAUUGCAAUUAUUGAUCUUGAACGAGGAAUUCCCAGUAAGCGCGAGUCAUAAGCUCGCGUUGAUUACGUCCCUGCCCUUUGUACACACCGCCCGUCGCUACUACCGAUUGAACGGUUUAGUGAGGGCCUCGGAUUGGUCUCGGCCCGCUCUUUACCGGGCGGCGCCGUUGGUCGAGAAGACGCUCGAACUUGAUCGUUUAGAGGAAGUAAAAGUCGUAACA